ACUUGGUUGUGGACCAAGUUUUGCUACAACUUGGUUUUGGCAUUAUUAGUUUGGGGUUGGUUUUAGACUGGACAAGACUCAGUUGUGAACUGAUUCUGACUGUUUUUUGGCUGGGAUUGGGUUGGGCUUGGACUGGGUUUAGAGCUGUUUUUGAAUGAGUUGUGGAGUGUUGACUACUUUUAUAUUCUUGUUUUCAUAUAUCACUGUAUUCAGCUGUGCAGAGCUACAGGCUGCUUCCAUUUUGUCUAAAUGUUAAAUUCAACAACACAUGAGGCUGAUUUUGUUCUCAUAAAGUUUAAUAUUCUUGAGCGGUGAUGGUGAUAAAAACUAAACCCAAACACCAAACUUUUGCUUUCAGAUGUGUGAGGUAAUCUGUUGGAAAUCCCAGUGAUCACCACGGUGCUUUCUGUAGUUUCUCUUUCACCAGCAUUCAGUGAUUUGUUCUGCAGAAUGUCGCCCUUGACCCCUGUUUCUCCUAAACAGAGAAUGACUCAGCCGUCUGAGUCUCCAGAGUGUCUCUGAGUUUGCCUCCUGAUUCUUCUUUCGAUAUCACAGAAUACCCUAACAGAGAAAACUGAACGCUGAGCUUCACACUGUUUUCUCCUCAGACUCAUCUGUGACUCUGCAAACCCGGGAAGAUUCAAUCACACUGUUAUAGUUUGUUUGUUUCACAGCUGCUUCAGGAUAUUUCAGUGUAAUUCAAGUUUCAUCAUUGAUUCUGAAAACAUACAGUUAUUUUCAGCAUCAGUAACACAAACAAAUCUUUAAUAUGAAGUGAUAAAUGUCUGCAGAGACUCUGUGAGGGCAUAAAUAACAAUAUUCAGGCUGAAUUAGAGGUUUCAUAAAAUGUUUUCAGGUUGUUAUUGAGGCUUCAGAUGACAGAAAAACACACCAAGAAGUUUGAAAGGUGUUUACAUUUUUAAAAACCUGAUUGGGUUUAGACCUGAUUUUUUAGGCUUAGCUUUGGAUUGGUUUUGGACUAGUUCUGACAAGGUUUGGACUGGGUUUAGUUUCAGUUGUGGGCUUAAUCUGGAUUGGGCUUGAACUGGGUUUUGCCUUUAUUUGCCUUUAGGCAAUAUUAUUAGGAAGCACUGUAUUAAUUUCCAUUGUUAUGCUGACGACACUCAGUUGUAUUUAUCUAUGAAGCCAGAUGAAACUAAUCAGCUAGCUAGACUGCAAGAUUGUCUUAAGGACAUAAAGACCUGGAUGACCUAUAAUUUCUUACUACUAAAUUCAGACAAGACUGAAGUCAUUGUGUUUGGCCCCAAACAUCUUAGAAAAUUGCUUUCAAAGCAUAUAGUUACUCUGGAUGGCAUUACAUUGGCCUCCAGUACUACUGUGAGGAACCUCGGUGUUAUUUUUGACCAGGACAUGUCCUUUAACUCACACAUAAAACAAAUCUGUAGGACUUCCUUUUUCUCCUGAAAAAUAUUGUGAAAAUCAGGAACAUCCUGCCUCAGAAUGAUGCAGAAAAACUAGUCCAUGCAUUUGUUACUUCUAGGCUUGACUACUGUAAUUCCUUAUUAUCAGGUUGUCCCAAUAGCUCUCUGAAACAUCUACAGCUGAUCCAAAAUGCUGCAGCCAGAGUACUGACGGGAGUUAGCAAGAGAGAUCAUAUUUCUCCUAUAUUGGAUUCUCUUCAUUGGCUUCCUGUUAAAUCUAGAAUAGAAUUCAAAAUCCUUCUUCUGACAUAUAAAGCUCUUAACAACCAAUCUCCAUCAUAUCUUAAAGACCUGAUAGUACCAUAUUACCCUAGCAGAACUCUUCGCUCUCAGACUGCAGGCUUACUUGUUGUUCCUAGAAUCUCUAAAAGUAGAAUGGGAGGCAGAGCCUUCAGUUAUCAGGCACCUCUCCUGUGGAACCAGCUCCCAGUUUGGGUUCGGGAGGCGGACACCCUCUCUAUUUUUAAGACCAGGCUUAAAACCUUCCUUUUUGACAAAGCUUAUAGUUAGGGCUGACUGGGGGACCAUGAUGGGGUGAGCUGGUGUUUUCAUUUGCACAACUGACUUCUUCUUUCGACGUCCCCGUGAUCACCACGGUGCUUUCUGUAGUUUCUCUUCCACCAGCAUUCAAUGAUAAACAGGAUACAGCGUCUGGAUAAAAACUGACCGCUGAGCUUCAGACUCUGUUUUCUCCUCAGACUCAUCUGUGACGCUGCAGAACAGGCAUCAUGGGAAAUACACACCGCCAGUGUGCAGUUCAAAUUCACAAUGACAGCAAAAACUACAUACUUUGUAGCCCCAUGGUGUUCCUUGACAGUGGACGCUGUCUAAAUACUUUACCAUCAACAAUUGGACCAUCUCUGCACGGCUCUGCUUUGUUCAUAAAGACUCAUGACACAGCCUGUGGAUCUGUGGGUGUCUUCACCUACGACCUCUACAAUGAAUCUACAAAGAGACACGAAAAGAAGAUGGCUGUCAUGUUCUCCAAUCCUUAUGACUUCAACAUCAACUCUAACCUUUACGCAGUGGGACUCUUUGACAAGAAACAACUCUGUGAUCACAGUCUGUUUUCUAAAAUGUAUUACGACACAGGGACAGAGUUUGUAAGACGUGGUGCUGGUUAUAGUCUGACUUACAAAAGAGAUGGUCUGAUCAUCUCAGCCAACAUGACUGACACUUACGAGCCUGAUCUGGAUGUUAGCAUCAGCAGCAUAGACGGCUAACGGAAGGAAACGUGCUUCAUCUUUUCCUUUCUCAGAAGCUGCUGGUGAUGAUACAGGAUGUUUUAGAGUUUUAAACAUUUAACCAAAGUAUGAUUCACAUCUUUCAUUAAAGUGUGCAGUUUGCUGUGUUUUAAUUAACAGACAUUGACUUUAUCCUGUCUUUUGUUCUGGGUUUGGUCUGAACCUCCCCAGAAAGAUGUCUUUCUCUCCACUGCUACAUGCUCCUGAUAAACUUGUCUUCUAAUAGAAUAUCAACCAGAUCAAUAAUCAAUGUUUGUAAUAAAUAAUUAGUUAACACUAAUGAAUACUUAACUGAAAGUAAUAAAUAUAAUAGUGUUUUUUUUUUUUACCUGUUAAGAACUUUAUAAAGUUGCUUUUAGAAAGUGCUGCACAAAUACAGUUAAUUAUAAGGAACCAGUCGAAAUGUUCUAUUAAUUCUGAGUAAUUGUUCUGAAUAUGUGAUAUGUAUUGGGAGUAAUCCUGUUUCAAACUGACUUCUUAAAGAAAGUGUUUUCCUCAGUUAAAAGUGAUCUCCUACUAAUAGUUAACAGCUCACUGACAUCAGGCACUUUUCCCGAGUCACUGAAGGUAGCUGCCAUUAAGCCCCUCCUAAAAAGGAGGACUCUGGACGCCUCCGUGAUGAACAACUACAGACCUGUCUCUAUCAACCUAUCUUUUAUAUCCAAGAUUAUUUAACAAGUUGUAUUUAACCAGCUUAACAACUUUUAUAGAUUUCCGUCAGGCUUCAGACCACAUCACAGCACUGAGACAGCACUGGUCAAAUUGUUAAAUGACAUUAAGCUGAAUACUGAUUCUGGUUAAGUAUCACUCCUGAUUCUGCUGGAUUUGAGUGCUGCCUUUGAUACUGCAGAUUGUCUGUUUUGUUUCACUGAGGUUUGAAUACAGAACACAGACAGUAACCCAAGGACUUCAGACUUUAAUCUCAGCUUCAUACUUUCACUUUCUGUUGCUUUAUUUAGUUUGUUGUGCAGAUCCAGCAGCUGCUCAUUGAGUCUAUAAAUACGAAUUGCUCCAUUUUAAUUUCUCAUCAUUUAUUUGUAAUGUGUUUUUAAUAGUAUAUAUAAACACACACACACACGCACACACACAAACACACACACACACACAUAUACAUACAUAUAAAUAUCUAUCUAUCUAUCUAUCUAUCUAUCUAUCUAUCUAUACAUAUAUAUAUAUAUAUAUAUAUAGACACAGACACGCACACACACACUACCAUUCGAAAGUUUGGGGUCACUUUGAACUGGCCUCAUCUUUGAAAGUAAAGCAUUUCUUUUUUCGAUGAGGAUAACA